ensembl:lncRNA
GGCCAAGCUACGCAAUUAUUUCUUCCUUGUGAAAGGAGGUGUCAGGGAGGAAGAUGUUUUUCUCUCCGUUGUCUGCCUGCCUUGCUGAGCUCAUUUCAGCUGACGUUACUCAGGCAGCAAUGCCCAGAGCAUCUUUUGGAGCAGUUCAUACAGGUCAUUGGAAUAGGAUGCUCAUUUUUCAGUUCCUGCGUGCUGCUGGACAAAAGUUUUGUGCUGACGCAUGCAGUCCCUGUUAAUGGGGACUGAAGUCGCACUGAAAGAAGAAAAUGCCCC